AUUUCCUAAUUACUGUAUUAUUUAGAAACGGCAGUUAUGGUAUACGAACAUGUUCAACAUUUUAAGGGUAAAUUGGUAAUUCUAUCCAUGUCUUCUUAGAGGGACACGUAUGCUACAAUUAAUUUGACAAAACCACAAUUAAGCUCAACUUCAGUGUUAACAACUUCUCUCUCAUUCGCUGCUUCAAAGACCCAUCUCUGUGUGUGAGUAUAUCAACUUUCUUCUAAGUUUUUCUCCGUUCUUCGAUCUUUCAAUUUGUGAAAUUCUUUUGUUGAUGGGUCAACAUUUAAUUGGUAUCUCUUUUGCUCCGGAUUUUUCGGAAUAGUGUGCUUCCAAAGCCUCAAACUCUUUCCUCAUGGCAUCUUGCCAAGCUGGGAUAGGAGCUGCCUGGGAAUAUGUAUAUGGUUCAAAUUUUACUGGCUUAGAAGAGGAGCAAGAAAGGGAAUUGGGCAGCUUGUAGAUGUAAUCAUUUAAGUAAGAAGGAGGAUUAUGAGGUCUAUCAGAUUUUCUAAGGGGAAUAGAGGAUGGUGCAGGAGUAGCAGUAUCGGGAUUGAAGGAAGGAGAAGCAGGGGCAGAAUCAGGGACAGCAACUGAAGGAGAAACUGCAGCAUCUAUGUCAGGAGGAGAAGAGGUGCUGGGAGAAGUAGGAGAUGAAGAACCAUGUGUGAAAGGAGAAGCAGGAUGUGAUGUUGUGUUGGGGGGAACAUUAGUGGAAGAAGAGGGCAUAAGACAAUCAUGGGGAAAAGAAGGUAAAUGAGCAGGUGACAAAGGGGACUCAGAAACAACAGGAAAGGAGAAAUCUGAAUAAAAAGGAAAAUGCUGCUCAUGGAAAACCACAUCUCUGGAUAUGAAACACUGCUUGGAUUGCAAAUUAUACAACUUAUAGCCUUUCUUUGCAAAGGGAUAGCCAAGGAAUAUACAAGGAUUAGCUCUAGGUUUCAGUUUAUCUCGUUGAGGAAUUAGAACAGUGGCAAAACAAAGACAACCAAAAGUCCUUAAGUGAGAAUAAUUGGGCUUUUUUUGCCAAAUAGCAACUCAUAAGGAGAUUUAUUUUGAAGCAAGCUAGAGGGAAGUCUAUUUAUAAUAUAGGUGGAUGUGAGGAGACGGUCUCCCCAGAAUCUAAUGGGAACUUGGGACUGAAAAAGUAAGGCUCUAGAAGCUUCAAGAAGAGUUCUAUGCUUCCUCUCAACCACACCAUUUUGUUGAGGUGUGUGAGGGCAGCUUGUUUGAUGAAUUAUACCAUGUUCAGAAAAGAAGGAAAUAGCAGCAUGACUAGCUCCUAACUCUAAAGCAUUGUCAGACCUUAUACACUGAAUAGUCAUAUGAAAUUGUGUCUUUACAAGUGCAACAAAGACCUUAAGAAGAGGGAAAGCAUUACUCUUGGAGCCCAUUAAGUGAGUCCAAGUGCUUUCCAGUGAAAUGAUCAACAAUAGUAAGAAAGUAUUUAGAACCUGAGUAAGUAGGUGUGUGAUAUGGUCCCCAAGUGUCAACAUGGACAAGUUGGAAAGGCUUAGAGCUAUGAAUAGAGCUAUCAGGGAAAGGCAAUCUAGUUUGCCUAGCCAUUGGACAAACAUGACAUGUAAAAGACUGUGUGGAAGAAAUAGCAGAAGACACUUCAGGAAUACUUUUCAUUCUAAUAAAAGGAACAUGAGCAAGUCUACUACGCCAAACAAUAUCCAUCAUUUUAUUCAUAACAGCUUUAUUACAGGUGGAAGAAGCAGUAUUUACAAUAGAAGAAAUAGGAACAGGAUCACAAACAGAUGGUAAGCUGCAAGAAUUUGACAGAGUAGCUUGAUGUUGAGAAGGCUUUUCCCAUACAGACUUGUAUAACCCACAAUCCAGUUUACCAAGAUCCAGAGGCUUCUUCAGAGAGAAGGGUCCUGUAUGAGACAAGAAAGUCUGGUAAACUGAACUAUGCAAUCAAACUGGUCUGUGAGUUUAUGUACAGAAAUAAGAUUGUGUUUAAAAGAAGGUAGAUAGAGAACAUUUGUAAGAAUAAUGGAAUCAGUUAAGGCAAAGGAACAUGUACAAGUGACUUUAACUUUGUAUCCAUUUGAUAGGGAAACAAGGAAAGGAAUAGGUAAAGGUGUGAUAAUAUUAAUAAGGUAAUCUUUGUUAGAGGUCAUGUGAUCUGAUGCACCGGAGUCAACUAUCCAAGUUAAAGAAUCAGAUUGACUAAGUAGAGUAGAAUUAAAACUAUAUACUACAUGAUAAAUUUGUUACUUUAAGCUUCAUUUUUCCACCAGUUACUGAUUGAUCAAUAACAUGUCAAGCAUGUCUUAUCAAGUAUUGUUUCUACUUCUUCUUCAUUUAUCUACAGUGAAAUCUUCAAUUGUUUGCUCUCAAAUUCAUCAAACUAAAGCAUUUUAUGAUCCAAUUUAGUAGAGAUCUCUGUCUAUUUUGUAGUGCUUCUAAGGUUAGUACUGCACUUUAGAAUUUAGAUGCAUCAUGAGCUAAAAGCCUAAUUUAACAACUAAUGCCUGGUUGGUGAAACCUUUUAAUUCGCAAAUGGUAAUGGGAAAGUUACCUUGUGAUCCACCAUUCUAGCCUAUAACAUUAGUUUGUGGAGACGAAACAUUACUAAUGAAACAGUGCGAUUGGAUUGAUUAGCAGGGGAAAAAUAAAGGACUGCUGAUAUAUAAAUUUCAAAUAUUCUUUGUUGCAUCUACCAGUACAUUGCUGAUGGUAUUUUCUGUUUUAUGCCAUUUACCGACUUUUAAAUUGGGCCUACUGUUGCGAGUUAAUAUAUGCCUUAUUUCAGGCCAUUCUAGAGUAAACUGAAAUUUUGAGUAAGGAAGCCAUUAGGCCUAAGGUUGAGUUAUCGUUUCUUUUUUGGUAAUUAAGAAAGUUUUAUUAUCAGGGAAAAUAUAUGUACAAGUAAAGAAGCAAAACCCCUAAAGUUGGACAUAAGGCCCCAACUUUAGUAUAAGCAAACUAGCAUCUUAGACAAACUAUCAACGGCUAUCUACCAUUUGCAUCUCAGUUUACUACUUGAUUCAAAGCUAUAGCACUGGCUAGGGGUAAAAAUUCAAGUCUGCCACCUGCUUUGUUAGCCUUGGUUGCCAACUCAUUCUGCAUAUAACAUCAUGUAUGUUGUGUUGAGUUAUCUUUUUGCGCUAGAUAUUUAUGUUAAUUUCUAUUUCACUAAAAAUGCCCAAAGGUUUUUGGUUUAUGAUGGUACAUAUUCAUCUAUUCAAAAGCACCAAAUCCUUCAGUUAUAUAUGCUAUUGACAUCAUGUUUCUAUUUGCCGUGUCAUUAGAUUGCAAAUGUGUUUCUGCAAUUUCAUCAGGUACAUGAUUACUUAUCUCUGCUUUACUUAUGUAUCUGAUUAGAUUUUUAUGACAAUAACAUGUUUGAUUUUUUAUUAGAAAGGAAUAUUUUAAAGUCUGUCAAUUCAUUAGAUGUCUUUGAUCAAUAAUACGCGAGACUACAAAAAAAUAUUAACUCUUAGAUUCUGUGCACUAUUGGGUCAUGUUUUGCAUCAAGGGUGCAACAUGAAUCACUAUGUUGUUGAGAGUACUACAUCUAAUACUGGUGAUCUACUAAUUGAGAAAGGUUCCGAUUCUGCUGGUUCGUGCACGUCUUUAUGCAGCUGAAGUUGCACAUGCUCUUGAAUACAUAGUAUGGGAAUGAUUCGUUGAGAUAUUAAGGUACUUUUAUUACCUGGACACCUUUGUCAAUGAAAUAUAUUAGGAAAGUUUUGAGUUUAUAUUUAUGGCUGCCAGAAAACUUGCUACGUACUGCAGAUGGACAUAUUAAAAUCGUUAACUUUGGCAGUGUAAAACCAUGCAGGAUAACAGAAUAACAGUCCUUUUAUAUAUAACAUCAGGUAUAUCUUUCUUGAUGUUCGGUUGCUUCCGUAGAAAUUAGAAUCAGGUUAAGUUCCCAAAGAUAUGCUCUUUGUGCAUUUUUAUUACCAAAUUAAAUCACUUCUCCAGAUAAUAAAGCAUGCACUUUUGUGGGGACAGCUGCAAAGGUCCUCACAUUCAAAUGAAGGUUGGUAUGUAGAUGAUUUUAUCCUAUUUUAGAUCACUCAAUAAGAAAAUAUUUGUUGUAUGAUGCAGGAAUUUGUAGAGAUUUUGGUGAGCCUCAUUUUAGUUUCUGCUAAUCAACUUUCAGAAUACACCAACUUUGUCUGCCCUUUAAAUAUCAAUAUCAUAUUAAUGAACCUUUUAUACCCUUUAAGUUUUUUUCCCACCAUACUCUAGAAGUAUCAAUGUCAUAUUAAAAAGCAAAAGCAAAUAGCAUAUAGGACAUCCCUUUGCUUUUUUUUUUUUCCUCUUUGCAUACCCUUAAAUGAUAUUUUAGCUUAGAUUUGUCUCAGUAUCUGAUCAAGCACCGGAGAAGGAGAAAAUAGUUCAAGGAAGACUAGGAAUAGACAUUUCCCAACCACUGUGAAGAUUGAAGAAUAAUAGGAAAGUUUAUUUCUCAUUAUAUCAGAGAUAGAGCUGUCGUUGCCUGCAUUUUGGACGGAAGACAAACAACUGCCUGCAGUUACACAGCUUGAUAUAUUUUCAACAGGUUACUCCAUCACGGGAGAAAAAGGUCAACUAUUUUCAUCCUCAAAGCUUUCCAUAGCACGACUUGAGAUCUCAAAUGGCUGAUUGCAGGUGGACAAAAAAGGGACUUGCAUCAACUUUAGAAGUUUUAUUAAUUUUCACACUCCCAAGUUUGUGUGAUAAUUAUAAUUAAAAUAAUGGUACAUAAAAUACCUUUUGUAUGUGAUUCUAUAAUAUAGUGUCAAUUAUAACAUUCUAGCAUUCUACACAACCUUAUAGUGAAAGACAUUAGCUAAAUCUAUAUAGCCAUAUUAAUCA